GAUGAACGCUGGCGGCGUGCUUAACACAUGCAAGUCGAACGGGAAACCUUUUAAUGAAGCUUCGGCAGAUUUAGCUGGUUUCUAGUGGCGGACGGGUGAGUAACGCGUGGGUAACCUGCCUUAUACAGGGGGAUAACAGUCAGAAAUGACUGCUAAUACCGCAUAAGCGCACAGGACCGCAUGGUCCGGUGUGAAAAACUCCGGUGGUAUAAGAUGGACCCGCGUUGGAUUAGCUUGUUGGUGGGGUAACGGCUCACCAAGGCGACGAUCCAUAGCCGGCCUGAGAGGGUGAACGGCCACAUUGGGACUGAGACACGGCCCAGACUCCUACGGGAGGCAGCAGUGGGGAAUAUUGCACAAUGGGGGAAACCCUGAUGCAGCGACGCCGCGUGAAGGAAGAAGUAUCUCGGCAUGUAAACUUCUAUCAGCAGGGAAGAUAGUGACGGUACCUGACUAAGAAGCCCCGGCUAACUACGUG
rnacentral:rRNA from 1 species